rnacentral:rRNA from 1 species
CCNNNACANNNCGAGAUGGCUCAUUAUAUAAGUUAUCGUUUAUUUGAUAAUACUUUACUACUUGGAUAACCGUGGUAAUUCUAGAGCUAAUACAUGCUAAAAAUCCCGACUUCGGAAGGGUUGUAUUUAUUAGAUUAAAAACCAAUGCCCCUCGGGGCUCUCUGGUGAAUCAUGAUAACUAGUCGAAUCGACAGGCCUUGUGCCGGCGAUGGCUCAUUCAAAUUUCUUCCCUAUCAACUUUCGAUGUUUGGGUCUUGUCCAAACAUGGUGGCAACGGGUAACGGAGGGUUAGGGCUCGACCCCGGAGAAGGAGCCUGAGAAACGGCUACUACAUCCAAGGAAGGCAGCAGGCGCGCAAAUUACCCAAUCCCGACACGGGGAGGUAGUGACAAUAAAUACUGAUACAGGGCUCUUUUGGGUCUUGUAAUCGGAAUGAGUACAAUUUAAAUCCCUUAACGAGGAACAAUUGGAGGGCAAGUCUGGUGCCAGCAGCCGCGGUAAUUCCAGCUCCAAUAGCGUAUAUUAAAGUUGUUGUGGUUAAAAAGCUCGUAGUUGAACCUUGGGCCUGGCUGGCCGGUCCGCCUCACCGCGUGCACUGGUCCGGCCGGGCCUUUCCCUCUGCGGAACCCCAUGCCCUUCACUGGGUGUGGCGGGGAAACAGGACUUUU